rnacentral:rRNA from 1 species
AUUGAACGCUGGCGGCAUGCCUUACACAUGCAAGUCGAACGGUAACGCGGGGCAACCUGGCGACGAGUGGCGAACGGGUGAGUAACGCAUCGGAACGUGCCCAAUAGUGGGGGAUAGCCCGGCGAAAGCCGGAUUAAUACCGCAUACGACCUAAGGGUGAAAGCGGUGGAUCGCAAGACCUCGCGCUAUUGGAGCGGCCGAUGUCAGAUUAGGUAGUUGGUGGGGUAAAGGCCCACCAAGCCGACGAUCUGUAGCUGGUCUGAGAGGACGACCAGCCACACUGGGACUGAGACACGGCCCAGACUCCUACGGGAGGCAGCAGUGGGGAAUUUUGGACAAUGGGCGCAAGCCUGAUCCAGCCAUGCCGCGUGCGGGAAGAAGGCCUUCGGGUUGUAAACCGCUUUUGUCAGGGAAGAAAAGGCUCGAACUAAUACUUUGGGCUCAUGACGGUACCUGAAGAAUAAGCACCGGCUAACUACGUGCCAGCCGCCGCUGUAACAC